UCUCAGUACAUGCCGCACUAAGGUGAAACCGCAAAAGGCUCAUUAAAUCAGUUAUGGUUCCUUGGAUCUUAAACAGUUACUUGGAUAACUGUGGUAAUUCUAGAGCUAAUACAUGCAAACAAGUCCCGACCAGAGAUGGGAGGGACGCUUUUAUUAGAUCAAAACCGAUCGGCGUCCGGCUCCGGCCGGCGCCGUCUCUUUUGGUGACUCUGGAUAACUUUUAGCCGAUCGCACGGUCACAGUACCGGCGACGCAUCUUUCAAAUGUCUGACUUAUCAACUGUCGAUGGUAGGCUCUGCGCCUACCAUGGUUGUAACGGGUAACGGGGAAUCAGGGUUCGAUUCCGGAGAGGGAGCCUGAGAAACGGCUACCACAUCCAAGGAAGGCAGCAGGCGCGCAAAUUACCCACUCCCGGCACGGGGAGGUAGUGACGAAAAAUAACGAUACGGGACUCAUCCGAGGCCCCGUAAUCGGAAUGAGUACACUUUAAAUACUUUAACGAGUACCAAUUGGAGGGCAAGUCUGGUGCCAGCAGCCGCGGUAAUUCCAGCUCCAAUAGCGUAUAUUAAAGUUGUUGCGGUUAAAAAGCUCGUAGUUGGAUCUGUGUGCCACGCUGUCGGUUCACCGCCUGUCGGUGUCAACUGGCAUGUCUGUGGGACGUCCUGCCGGUGGCGGUACGGGCUGCCGGCGCUGCGUAGGGGCUCGCCCCCGAAGCACGCCGGCGUGUCCCGGUCCGCCGAUCCAAUCCCGCCGCGGUGCUCUUCACUGAGUGUCGAGGUGGGCCGGCACGUUUACUUUGAACAAAUUAGAGUGCUCAAAUCAGGUCGUAUU
rnacentral:rRNA from 1 species